AUUGAACGCUGGCGGCAUGCCUUACACAUGCAAGUCGAACGGUAACGGGCCUUCGGGUGCCGACGAGUGGCGGACGGGUGCGUAAUACAUCGGAACGUGCCCGAUCGUGGGGGAUAACGAGGCGAAAGCUUUGCUAAUACCGCAUACGAUCUACGGAUGAGAGCCGGGGACCGCAAGGCCUUGCGCGGACGGAGCGGCCGAUGGCAGAUUAGGUAGUUGGUGGGAUAAAAGCUUACCAAGCCGACGAUCUGUAGCUGGUCUGAGAGGAUGAUCAGCCACACUGGGACUGAGACACGGCCCAGACUCCUACGGGAGGCAGCAGUGGGGAAUUUUGGACAAUGGGCGCAAGCCUGAUCCAGCCAUGCCGCGUGCAGGAUGAAGGCCUUCGGGUUGUAAAAUGCUUUUGUACGGAACGAAAAGCCUUCUUUUAAUACAGGAGGGUCAUGACGGUACCGUAAGAAUAAGCACCGGCUAACUACGUG
rnacentral:rRNA from 1 species